rnacentral:rRNA from 1 species
UAGCCCGGUGCCCUCUUUCUGCGAGUAACGUAAAUUGCAUGAACGUAUUAAGUUCACCACCUUCCUCCUCGCUGAAAGUGCUUUACAACCCGAAGGCCUUCUUCACACACGCGGCAUGGCUGCAUCAGGCUUGCGCCCAUUGUGCAAUAUUCCCCACUGCUGCCUCCCGUA